rnacentral:rRNA from 1 species
AUACGGAGGAUGCGAGCGUUAUCCGGAUUUAUUGGGUUUAAAGGGAGCGUAGGUGGGAUAUUAAGUCAGCUGUGAAAGUUUGGGGCUCAACCUUAAAAUUGCAGUUGAUACUGGUCUCCUUGAGUACGGUACAGGUGGGCGGAAUUCGUGGUGUAGCGGUGAAAUGCUUAGAUAUCACGAAGAACUCCGAUCGCGAAGGCAGCUCACCGGGCCGGAACUGACACUGAUGCUCGAAAGUGCGGGUAUCAAACAGGAUUAGAUACCCUGGUAGUCCGCACAGUAAACGAUGAAUACUCGCUGUUUGCGAUACACGGUAAGCGGCCAAGCGAAAGCGUUAAGUAUUCCACCUGGGGAGUACGCCGGCAACGGUGAAACUCAAAGGAAUUGACGGGG